rnacentral:rRNA from 1 species
UUCGCAAUGCCCGAAAGGGUGACGAAGCGACGCCGCGUGCGGGAAGAAGGCCUUCGGGUUGUAAACCGCUGUCGGGAGUUAAGAAAUGCAAGGGUGUCAACAGCAUCCUUGCUUGACUAAGGCUCCGGAGGAAGCCACGGCUAACUCUGUGCCAGCAGCCGCGGUAAUACAGAGGCGGCAAGCGUUGUUCGGAAUUAUUGGGCGUAAAGAGCACGUAGGUGGUUUUGUAAGUCAGAUGUGAAAGCCUUCUGUUCAAAGGAAGAACGGCAUCUGAAACUGCGGAUCUUGAGUGUAGGAGGGGAGAGCGGAACUUCUGGUGGAGCGGUGAAAUGCGUAGAUAUCAGAAGGAACGUCGGCGGCGAAAGCGACUCUCUGGCCUAUUACUGACACUGAGUGUGCGAAAGUUAGGGGAGCAAACGGGAUUAGAUACCCCGGUAGUCCUAACUGUAAACGAUGGGCACUAAGUAGAGGGGUUUU